CGUUAGAUUGAAGAAGCUUGCUUCUGAUUGAUAACAUUUGAGUGAGUGGCGGACGGGUGAGUAACACGUGGGUAACCUGCCCUAAAGUGGGGGAUAACAUUUGGAAACAGAUGCUAAUACCGCAUAAAACCUAGCACCGCAUGGUGCAAGGUUGAAAGAUGGUUUCGGCUAUCACUUUAGGAUGGACCCGCGGUGCAUUAGUUAGUUGGUGAGGUAAAGGCUCACCAAGACCGUGAUGCAUAGCCGACCUGAGAGGGUAAUCGGCCACACUGGGACUGAGACACGGCCCAGACUCCUACGGGAGGCAGCAGUAGGGAAUCUUCCACAAUGGACGAAAGUCUGAUGGAGCAACGCCGCGUGAGUGAAGAAGGUUUUCGGAUCGUAAAACUCUGUUGUUGGAGAAGAACGUAUUUGAUAGUAACUGAUCAGGUAGUGACGGUAUCCAACCAGAAAGCCACGGCUAACUACGUGCCAGCAGCCGCGGUAAUACGUAGGUGGCAAGCGUUGUCCGGAUUUAUUGGGCGUAAAGCGAGCGCAGGCGGUUUCUUAAGUCUGAUGUGAAAGCCUUCGGCUCAACCGAAGAAGUGCAUCGGAAACUGGGAAACUUGAGUGCAGAAGA
rnacentral:rRNA from 1 species